AGUGAACGCUGGCGGUAGGCCUAACACAUGCAAGUCGAACGGCAGCACAGGAGAGCUUGCUCUCUGGGUGGCGAGUGGCGGACGGGUGAGGAAUACAUCGGAAUCUACUCUGUCGUGGGGGAUAACGUAGGGAAACUUACGCUAAUACCGCAUACGACCUACGGGUGAAAGCAGGGGACCUUCGGGCCUUGCGCGAUUGAAUGAGCCGAUGUCGGAUUAGCUAGUUGGCGGGGUAAAGGCCCACCAAGGCGACGAACCGUAGCUGGUCUGAGAGGAGGAUCAGCCGCACUGGGAAGGAGCCACGGUCCAGACUCCUACGGGAGGCAGCAGUGGGGACUAUUGGACAAGGGGCGCAAGCCUGAUCCAGCCAUACCGCGUGGGUGAAGAAGGCCUUCGGGUUGUAAAGCCCUUUUGUUGGGAAAGAAAUCCAGCUGGCUAAUACCCGGUUGGGAUGACGGUACCCAAAGAAUAAGCACCGGCUAACUUCGUGCCAGCCGCCGCCGUAA
rnacentral:rRNA from 1 species